GACUUGAACUACAGAUAAGUGAAUCUCAUGUCUGUGCCUGAAAAGAUCAUGGAAGAUCCUCCUGGGAAGAUCCUCCAGAAUGCUGCGUUAAGGCACAUUCAGGACAAGAAUGUGAUCUUAGACAGCCAGAACAGCUUCAAUAAAGGACAGAUCAGAACACAGUACCUGUGAGAUAGAUGAAGUACUCUCAGCUCUUAAGUUUGUUGAUGACUAAGGAAAACUGAAAUUUUACAUAUCAUGACACUGCCAAAUAAACCCUUAAUAAAUUCGUUCCUUUAAA